CAGUAGCCGCGGUAAUACGGAGGAUCCAAGCGUUAUCCGGAAUCAUUGGGUUUAAAGGGUCCGUAGGCGGUCUUGUAAGUCAGUGGUGAAAGCCCAUCGCUCAACGGUGGAACGGCCAUUGAUACUGCAGGACUUGAAUUAUUGGGAAGUAACUAGAAUAUGUAGUGUAGCGGUGAAAUGCUUAGAGAUUACAUGGAAUACAAAUUGCGAAGGCAGGUUACUACCAAUUGAUUGACGCUGAUGGACGAAAGCGUGGGUAGCGAACAGGAUUAGAUACCCCGGUAGUCCCUGUCUCUUAUAC
rnacentral:rRNA from 1 species